rnacentral:rRNA from 1 species
AGUGAACGCUGGCGGUAGGCCUAACACAUGCAAGUCGAACGGCAGCACAGUAAGAGCUUGCUCUUACGGGUGGCGAGUGGCGGACGGGUGAGGUAUACACCGGAAUCUACUUUUUCGUGGGGGAUAACGUAGGGAAACUUACGCUAAUACCGCAUACGACCUACGGGUGAAAGCAGGGGAUCUUCGGACCUUGCGCGAUUGAAUGAGCCGAUGUCGGAUUAGCUAGUUGGCGGGGUAAAGGCCCACCAAGGCGACGAUCCGUAGCUGGUCUGAGAGGAUGAUCAGCCACACUGGAACUGAGACACGGUCCAGACUCCUACGGGAGGCAGCAGUGGGGAAUAUUGGACAAUGGGCGCAAGCCUGAUCCAGCCAUACCGCGUGGGUGAAGAAGGCCUUCGGGUUGUAAAGCCCUUUUGUUGGGAAAGAAAAGCAGCAGGUUAAUACCCCGCUGUUCUGACGGUACCCAAAGAAUAAGCACCGGCUAACUUCGUG